rnacentral:rRNA from 1 species
UACAGAGGGUGCAAGCGUUAUUCGGAAUUAUUGGGCGUAAAGAGCACGUAGGCGGCUAUGUAAGUCUGAUGUGAAAUCCCUGGACUCAAUCCAGGAAGUGCAUCGGGUACUGCAUGGCUAGAGGAGAGGAGAGGAGAGCGGAAUUCCUGGUGUAGAGGUGAAAUUCGUAGAUAUCAGGAGGAACAACAGAAGCGAAGGCGGCUCUCUGGACUCUAUCUGACGCUGAGGUGCGAAAGCGUGGGGAGCAAACAGGAUUAGAAACCCCAGUAGU